rnacentral:rRNA from 1 species
AAUGAACGUUGGCGGCGUGGAUUAGGCAUGCAAGUCGAGCGAGAAGUUUUAAAAGAUACUUCGGUUGAUUUUUAAAAUGGACAGCGGCGAAAGGGAGAGUAACGAGUAGAUACGUACCCAGGGUUCGGGAUAGCCACGCGAAAGUGUGAGUAAUACCGAAUAAUGUCUCCGGACCAAAGAUUUAUCGCCCUUGGAGCGGUCUGCUUACUAUUAGGUUGUUGGUGGGGUAAUGGCCUACCAAGCCGAAGAUGGUUAGCGGGUGUGAGAGCAUGGCCCGUCUCACUGGGACUGAGACACUGCCCAGACACCUACGGGUGGCUGCAGUCGAGAAUCUUCCGCAAUGGACGAAAGUCUGACGGAGCGACGCCGCGUGAUGGAUGAAGGCCCUCGGGUUGUAAACAUCUGUCGUAGGGAGGAAAUUUUGACCGAUCCUAGGAGGAAGCACAGGCUAAGUUCGUGCCAGCCGCCGCGGUAA